AGACAGGUUGGGACGAGGGUUAAUCAAUGGAUUUGAAGGGGGUUUCUAGACAGGUUGGGACGAGGGUUAAUCAAUGGAUUUGAAGGGGGUUUCUAGACAGGUUGGGACGAGGGUUAAUCAAUGGAUUUGAAGGGGGUUUCUAGACAGGUUGGGACGAGGGUUAAUCAAUGGAUUUGAAGGGGGUUUCUAGACAGGUUGGGACGAGGGUUAAUCAAUGGAUUUGAAGGGGGUUUCUAGACAGGUUGGGACGAGGGUUAAUCAAUGGAUUUGAAGGGGGUUUCUAGACAGGUUGGGACGAGGGUUAAUCAAUGGAUUUGAAGGUGGUUUCUAGACAGGUUGGGACGAGGGUUAAUCAAUGGAUUUGAAGGGGGUUUCUAGACAGGUUGGGACGAGGGUUAAUCAAUGGAUUUGAAGGUGGUUUCUAGACAGGUUGGGACGAGGGUUAAUCAAUGGAUUU